CUCCGGUUGAUCCCGCCGGACCCGACUGCUAUCAGAGUGAGAUUAAGCCAUGCGAGUCAACGCAGCAAUGCGUGGCAUACGGCUCAGUAACACGUAGUCAACAUGCCCAGGGGACGUGGAUAACCUCGGGAAACUGAGGAUAAACCGCGAUAGGCCAAGAUUUCUGGAAUGGAUAAUGGCUGAAAUCUAUAUGGCCCCUGGAUUGGACUGCGGCCGAUCAGGCUGUUGGUGAGGUAAUGGCCCACCAAACCUGUAACCGGUACGGGCUCUGAGAGGAGGAGCCCGGAGAUGGGCACUGAGACAAGGGCCCAGGCCCUAUGGGGCGCAGCAGGCGCGAAACCUCUGCAAUAGGCGAAAGCUUGACAGGGUUACUCUGAGUGAUGUCCGUUAAGGGCAUCUUUUGGCACUUCUAAAAAUAGUGUAGAAUAAGGGGUGGGCAAGUCUGGUGUCAGCCGCCGCGGUAAUACCAGCACCCCGAGUGGUCGGGACGAUUAUUGGGCCUAAAGCAUCCGUAGCCGGUUCUGCAAGUCUUCCGUUAAAUCCACCUGCUCAACAGAUGGGCUGCGGAGGAUACUACAGGGCUAGGAGGCGGGAGAGGCAAGCGGUACUCAGUGGGUAGGGGUAAAAUCCUCUGAUCCACUGAAGACCACCAGUGGCGAAGGCGGCUUGCCAGAACGCGCUCGACGGUGAGGGAUGAAAGCUGGGGGAGCAAACCGGAUUAGAUACCCGGGUAGUCCCAGCUGUAAACGAUGCAGACUCGGUGAUGGGUUGGCUUCGAGCCAACCCAGUGCCGCAGGGAAGCCGUUAAGUCUGCCGCCUGGGGAGUACGGUCGCAAGACUGAAACUUAAAGGGAAUUGGCGGGGGAGCCCA
rnacentral:rRNA from 1 species